UUUUCAGCGUUGAUUGGGAAGAGUAAUAUGAAAAAUAUCUUUUAGAGAGUGGGGAAAGGUGAAAGCCCAUAGAUAAUUAUCAUAAGAAAAUCACCCAGGAGCUGCCAGCUGAAGUUAGUAAGCUGUGCCGGUUAUGAGCCGUUAUUUCAUUGAGAUAUAAAAUUGAGUGGAACCGCGGAUGACGCCUCAUGG
rnacentral:ncRNA from 1 species